rnacentral:lncRNA from 10 species
AAAGCAUCUGAAACCCUAGGAAGGGCCGAACCACAUCUCUACACUAACAUCACACUAACCACCAGGUCCUAUCUGUCUGAAGAGAGGACGUCUGAUCCAUAAACACAUCCUGACCCGGGACCAAGACUGGAUGAUGAAAGGAGACAGGGUUUGGGCUACUUCUUCACCUGCUGAACAAACCCAUAUACACACGCCUCUUUUCCUCUAAAGGAGUUAAGUGUACAAUUUGAUUGACCAGCAAAUGGGUCAGAGAUGAUAAGAUUAAGCCAUAUCCCUCAUGACUUUCUUUCUCUGGGUAACUUGAGUCUCAUCUGGAAGGGCUGGUUUUUCAUUUCAAGCCUGGUUUGUUCUAAUCCUGGCCCUGGGAUCCUAGACUCUGUACUGAAGAGGCUUCCGAAGGACCAGCUGGUCUGCUUAUCCACACUCAGGGCCAUGCAUGGAUGUGAAGCCGAGAACCAUAACAGCCUUCUCCCUUUCAACCUAAAAUGAAGCCAACACACAGAGAGAAGAGGGGAUUCACAAGAACCCCAGGAAAAGAGAUGGAGCUGCUGGAUCAAAUCAACUCGAAGUUCUACCCAAUCUCUGCAUUGGCCAAUGUUGACAUUACGCGAUGCUGAAACUCUCAUUCAGAGAACACUCCUUGGAACACUUAGGAACAAAGGUCCAGAGAUGUGAAUAAAUGUGUUGCAUUGGGGGAAAGAAAAACAAUGCAGAGAGCCUAGAGAGAUCAUUUUUUCCCAAGUGUUUUGUCCUUGGAAACCCAAUCAAGCCUUCCCUUUAUCAUCCACUCACCUUGCAGCAGAUCUAUUUCUUCUUGAUUUUGUGUAAUUUGAUUCAUUCUCAGAUGUUUGUUCAUCUGAUCUUACAGUUGGUAUGGUAACGGCCUGACUGAACUGUGGUGUUUAUUUUUCACCACAAGCUCUUGUCAAGUCAGGAAGAAUCACCUUUGCCUUCUUUCAAGCAGUACAGGGGACUGAGAUAUUGAGGAGGAGGCAUGGCCUUGUACCCCUACUGGGGUCGAUGCUGGAAAAUCUCCUGUUAAAACUCUACCAUUUUCCUUCCUCUGUUCACAUUGAUUGAGGUGGUUCCUUCCUUUCUGUAGAGCUCUUGUCUCCUUGCCAUGGAAGGCAACAUUUAUUUCUAUCCCCCACCCCCUCUCAUGUGACAUUAAUAACAGGACACAAAUUGGGUGGGCAAUAGGUCAAAGAAUUUGUGAAAGUCACAUUCAAAAAAAUACUGUAAAGAAGCAAAAGGAGAUAUCUUAGAAUCAGAAUUAAUCAUUGAAAAUAAUACUUAUAAGUAUUUACUAACUUUGUAACUCAGUUAAGAAGUUCUUCACACCCUAGAUGUUCAAACAUUGAGGGAGAACAUGGCUAAUAUUUAUUAGAUACUACCAUGAGCUAAGCACUAUGUGUGGCCUACCAUACACGUGACUCAUUCAGUCUCACAAUGACCUGGGGAAACAACUAUAAUCAUCUCCACUUUAUGGAGAAAAAGAACUUUUCCAAGGUCUUGCAGCUAGCAUGUAGAGGGUCUAGGAUUUGAAUUUGGAACUUGCACCUUCAUUUUAUUUCUACCACACUAUACUCUUUUGAACAGAAGAUACAUAGCACACUUGUUCUGAGAGUAGACUUGCCUAUAAGAAUAGUAAAAUCUGGCCCUACCAUGUACUAAUUGUGUAAUUUUGACCAAAUUACUUAACCUUUCUCUGCCUCAGUUUCCUCAUUUGGAAAAUGGGAAUAAUCCAAACUCUGCCCUGUCAUUUUAGGAAAGUCCCUUAUCCCCCUGGGCCUUACUUUCAUGUCUCUGUAAUGAGGGACCUGCACUAGUGAUUUCUAAGGGAGCUUUUGUGCAAACAUUCAGCCAUAUUCUGGGCUUAGGGUCAUGAUUUUAUAUCAGUGCAGGGCAGUGAAAAGAGAAGAAAAGAGAAGCUUCAAGAAAUAUCUUACAAACAUAAGACUUGGUGGCUGAUUUCAUGGAAAAGGCAAAGAAGGAGCUUGAGUAAAAGAUGGCUCUGAGCUUUAGAGCCUGGAGGAAAGAUAUAUUUAUUUUUAAAUCAUCCAAAAGCCACUCUUGCUAUUGUGUUAGUUAUUGUCUCCAUUUGACCAAUGAAUCAAGGUUUUAAAAUAUCCAUUUGCUGUCCCUUAUUCGUUAUUCUUCUGUGAACAAGCUUAGUCCAUAACGGUCUAAAACCAUCAGCAGCUCAUUAGUCAUCAGAAGAUUUGUAACUAAGUGGUAAUAGAGAUUCCUGUAAUCUGGACUUCAGAGCUAAAGGAACGGGUAUCCAGUGAUGAAUCGUCCAGGCAGGGCUCUGAAAGGUGUCCUAAUGGAUGCAGCAAGUGAAGAUCUGUUCCAGAUGGACAUAUCUGCUGCUGCUUUUCUGUUCCUCACGCACAACACACCUUGGCUCAGCCAUCCUCCCUUCUUGCAAAGGCUCCUAGACUACCCUCUGGCAGGAAGAAUCUAAUCCAUCCUUCAAAGAAAAGCUCAAGCUGUUCAUGGAAUAGACACGUAUGGAGCCAGGCUCUGUGCUAGGUGCCAGCAAUGCAAAGAUGAAAGACACCUGUCUCAAAGAGCUCCCACCAGCUGGGCCUGGGGCAUCAUCCCCAAGCUCACACCUUGUCAUUCAUUUUGCUUGUCUAUUCAUGGUGGUUAAUUCCUGAGGACAAGGACUUUUUUCAUACUCUUCAUGAUACUUAUGUGCUGAGAGUGGGUGUUGAAAUGUAUUUGUACUUUGUUUUAUUUGGGAGAAAGGCCUUAUUGUGUAGCAGCUAAGAGAGAAGGCCAUAGGGUUAUAUGGAU